rnacentral:rRNA from 1 species
GUGCCAGCAGCCGCGGUAAUACGUAGGGUGCAAGCGUUAUCCGGAAUCACUGGGUGUAAAGGGUGAGUAGGCGGUUUGUUAAGUCACAUGUGAAAUCCCGGGGCUCAACCCCGGGACUGCAUGAGAAACUGGCGAACUAGAGUACAGGAGAGGUAAGCGGAAUUCCUAGUGUAGCGGUGAAAUGCGUAGAUAUUAGGAAGAACACCAGUGGCGAAGGCGGCUUACUGGACUGAAACUGACGCUGAGUCACGAAAGCGUGGGGAGCGAACAGGAUUAGAUACCCUUGUAGUCC